UCGCAAAGAACUUAAAUGGCUUCCUAUAC
rnacentral:sRNA from 1 species